UCCGGGGCUGCACGCGCGCUACAAUGAAGGUAGCAAGGUGCUUGUUUACCUUGUCCGAAAGGACUAGGAAAUCACGAAUUACUUUCGUGCUUGGGACAGGGAAUUGAAAUUAUUUCCCUUGAACGAGGAAUUUCUAGUAAGUAUGAGUCAUAAGCUCAUGUUGAUUACGUCCCUGCCCUUUGUACACACCGCCCGUCGCUACUACUGACUGGAAAAUUCAGUGAAACGCUUGGACUGUGGCAAGUACGGCUUCACGGCUGAGCUUGUGUGCAGGAAGACCGUUGAACUGUAUGUUCUGAAAGAAGUAAAAGUCGUAACAAGGUUUCC
rnacentral:rRNA from 1 species